AAUGUUGAAGUGAGCCCACA
rnacentral:siRNA from 1 species